AAAUAUUGAAUCACAGAAAAGCCUAUUUAAAUUACCCCAUUGAACGAGGAAAAUUUUUAUUUUUAUUUUUCUUUUCCUUUUCCUUUUUCUUUUUUUUCUCCCCUCACCCGAUGUCGUGCCCUACUUCUCCACGCCAUCCAUUUCUUCUCGAGCCCGAUCCCCUUCCUCUUUCUCUUCCCCUUUGCUCCCGCGACACGAAGCCUCUUCCUCUUCAUCGAGCCGCCCUCUCUUCUUCCCUUUGUGCUGCCACAGACCUCCACAACCGAUGCCAACUUCACUUCCUUGCGUCGCCCGAUCACUGACCACCCAUUUCCCCUCUCCGCGCCGAACACCGAAGCUCUUCGUUUUCCCCGAUCGGCCACGACGUUUCUUCUCCUCCCACGAGUACAAGCCUCAAGCCGAACCUCUAACCUCCCGACGCUUUCUUCCCUCCUCUACAUCGAGCUGUUCUAGCUUUCCCUGCCGACGCCGACUACAUCCUGGCACUGCAGACGCCACAUAUCCAUCAUCAGCGUGUUGUGCCCUAGCGCCGGCGUAGAUCCUGCACACUCUUCUUGAGCUGUGCCCUAGAGAUGCCAUCGCUCUUCCUUGCCCUGGAUCAGCAUCACAGUAGUCGAAACCUGAGUUUCCUUUCUUGUGUCAUUGCUCUAAAUCACCGUCCAGUGCCUGAGGUGCAUCUCGUGCCCUAGCUGUGAUCAUGGACACAAGCCACUAAAUCUAGCUGUAGAUUUCAGGCAUUAGAUCUCCGUGUAGUGUUGAUCUGGGUGUUGGUUGGGAGGCAGUAGGUGCAAUUGGUUCCGGUCACCUCUAUCGUCAACAGAGGAUAAUCUCCUUCGUCGGAUCCGUGAUCAGCACCGGUGAUUGAAGAGGAUGAGUGAAACGCAAGGUAUUUCUUGGUUUCCAGCAGCUACCCUUCUCUGGCAGCCACAUCCUUGGUUGUGAGUUUGAGGGCUUUGAUUCGAGAUGAGCGUCUCGACGUGCGGUCUAUUUCGAAGACGAUCUCCACUUUUUGAGGAGGGUACCUUGACUUAUAUGUUUUGAUAUGUCAUGUUGAUAUGCGUAGUAGGUUAUAGCCUUUAGUAAUAAUUAUGUUUAUCAUUGCUUUGGUAUGCCACUACAUGAUACCUAUUGUAUGCUUUCACCUGUUCUGCAUUUAUGAUUUAUUAUUGUCAUGAUUAUUUAUGCUCAUAGAGGUAGUGACAUACCAUGCCAUGUGAUACACCGGACUAGACAUUUACCAUAUCUGACCCGUGUACCUAGAUCUGUUUAUUUGAUCCAU